UCAGUCGCCGAUUCGCCCCGGUGGAUGAAUGUUCAGCCACAAUCUGCAUUGAAACGAAGUUCUUCAACAUAUCGUUGAUUUGCGCCCAUGCCCCAACGGAAGAGAAGGACGAUAUGACCAGAGAUGCCUUUUAUGAGCGCUUGGAGCUCACCUAUGAGUGAUGACUUUAAAGCCAGGGUUCACAAGGAAGGUAUCUUUGGCACAAAAGUCGGUAAAUUCAGCCUCCACGAGGAAAUAUUUCCAAAUGGAUUGAGGCUGAUUGACUUCACCGAGCUCCUAACAUCGACUCGGACCACUAUCCUGCUGCAGCCAGGAUUCGCACCCGUCUCUGUGCAGCAAAAACGCGCGACAACGUCAAAACAAGGAGGUUCGACGUCGAGAAGUUGCAAUCACAACAUACAUUCGAGCGAUUUUCUACUUCGACUUGCACUCCUGAUCUCUGAGAGCACACAUCAACAACUUUAAGGGAACUGUGCCCGACAGAGGUAGUGCUCAAAAAUUCAAAAUGAGGGAACACUCCUUCAGACUACUGAAUGACGGCAUAACAUCAGGAGAUGGCGGAUCCGAUUCCCCAAACGAUAACGAUGGAGCAGACGUUCCUUCGCCCGACCAUGAAGAAGUUCGAAUAUUCAAACACGUUAGGGAAGAACUGAGAAGGAGCACGCAAGAGCUUCUUUGUAGAAUAUAGACGGACGACAGCAUUGCCGACGAUUGGAAUUUAAGUGUGCUAUGCCCAAUCCACAAAAAGGGAGACCUUACAAUCUGCGCCAAGUACCGUGGGAUAAACCUCUUCAACACCGCAUAUAUCGUUCUAUUUAGCGUAUUUUGUGAAAGGUUUAAGCCCACCGUAAACAAACUGAUUGUACCUUAUCAGUGUAGCUUCGACCUGGAAAAUCAAGAACUGACCAGAUAUUCACCAAGCGCCAAAUCUUGGAAAAGACUCGGAGAGAGUCUUGGAGAGACUCGACACUAAUCAUAUCUUUAAAACUUUAUAAUACCGUUCCAGGAUUUCUAGAAUAAAAUGGAUAUGGUCGGAUAGAGGAAACUUAUGGUUUUCGAGAUAUUGCCGCUUAAAGUUAAAAAUUACCACUAUUUCAAGAUGGAAGCCUGGAGUCGAAUCGUUACAUCCGUGCACGGAUCGGCAAACAUACGAAAGAAAAUUACGUGAUACGUCAAUCGUAURCGAUGAUUGGCAUUAUGACAUACGAUAGCAAACCUAUCGUAAUGUCUUUUCAAUUCACAAUAGUUUUUAAACUCCACAUUGCUUUGGAUCGUAUUUUUAGGUCACAAUAGCUGUGGAACUGUCAAAACUGUUGCAAAAUAUUCAAUCAAUUUGUUAGUUUAAAUAUCAAAUGGUUGAAUAUSAAGAUGGAUCUGACUUUGUUUUUUUAUUUGAGCUCUAGUGAGUGUGAUGGGGAUGAAAAAAUAGUGCGGAGGCAACUAAGAGAUCGGAGCAAUCCAUUGGCACUGCCGAAUACAGCAUUUUUAAAACGAUUUCGUCUAACUAAAGAGGCUUUUGAAUAUGUCCUAAAUAAUAUAUGUCUGACGUCAGAGCAGUGCCUCCAGUGCUACAAUUAGCAACCACGCUCUCACAUUUGGCUAGCGGUGGAUAUCAGCACAGUGUAGGCAGUGAAUAUUUGAUUGGGAUUUGUCAAAGCACUGUUUCGAAGCUGACAUCCCAUGUGCUUAAAGAAAUGGAAGCGAAGUUGUGCCCGCAGUUUAUACGGUUUACACCAGAGGAUUCCCUUACGUGUAAAGAGUGGUUUGUGCACCAACAUAAAAUUCCUGGAGUUAUUGGGUGCGUUGAUGGUACCCACAUCGUCUUACAAAAACCCACAGUGAACGAGCACAUGUACUUCAAUAGAAAAGGCUACCAUAGUAUCAACCCUAUGAUAGGGAUUCUGGCUACCCAUUGGAACCAUGGUGCAUAACUCCUUACAGAAACGCUUCGAAUGAUGCAAGCGAAGCUAUAUUUAAUGAAAUUCAUUCCAAGGUAUCGUCGUUCCAAGGUAUCGUCGAACGAACUAUCGGAAUUUUUAAAGGACGCUGGAGAAUUUUAGGAUAUGGCAAGAGAAGAAGGUAGCAUCCGACAAAAGUGGCAAGAUUUGCUAACGUUUGUGCAGCAUUACACAACAUCUGCAUAAAAUUGAAAAGAAAUUAUGAUCCUCAGAAUUGCGAAUCUGACCAAACAACGGAUAUCGACACCGGGGUAGCGAACCGCCUCACCACAAUCGGCCAACAAUAAGAGAUCAAAUACAGCACUCUUUAAUACAUUGAAGAUGAAAAUGUCUAUU